rnacentral:rRNA from 1 species
AUGGCGACCGGCGCACGGGUGAGUAACACGUAUCCAACCUGCCGNUGACUCGGGGAUAGCCUUUCGAAAGAAAGAUUAAUACCCGAUGGCAUAGUUCUUCCGCAUGGUGGAACUAUUAAAGAAAUUUCGGUCAUCGAUGGGGAUGCGUUCCAUUAGGUUGUUGGCGGGGGUAACGGGCCCACCAAGCCUUCGAUGGAUAGGGGUUCUGAGAGGAAGGUCCCCCACAUUGGAACUGAGACACGGUCCAAACUCCUACGGGAGGCAGCCAUG